AUGGAUGAGGCUGCUGCCACUGACAGCAGGGCUGGUGAUGGUACUAAGGCUAAUGUUUCUGAUCACCAUAUGAAUGUUGUUGGGUUGGAGCCUCCUGUUGUUGAUGAGACCAGUCACAAUGUUGAGGCUGCUGUUGACCAUGGAAUUAAUGAUCCAUCUAUUGAUAAGUGCAAGGGUCCUGUUGUUGGCGACGAGCCUUGUUCGACCAUUGGUGAUGUUCCUUUGAAUGUUAGUAGCAGCAAGAUCGAUGAUGUUGCUGUGAAUGCUGCUAAGAUGACUGAUGUUGAGAGUGAGGCUGCCCUUAGUGGUGGAGAUGAUGCUUGUAGUGUUCCAUUGAGUAGUGGGCGUGAUGUUGGUACCAAAGUUGGUGAUGAGGUUGUUGGUGCUGCCAGCAUACUUGAUGCCAAAUCGUCUGGUGUUGGUAUUGCUGGGAAUGAAAAUCUUUCUGAUUCUGAAGAUUUACCGCCGAAAAAUUUCCCGCCUGGAGGGCUUGAUUACGGUGAUGCAUUGCAAGAUGCCUCUAGCGUGGAGGAGGAACUCCCAUCGUCAAACUCUGACAGUGCAGAAGGUGCUAAUGUUGUUAAGGUUGAUUUGUUUUUCUUCGCUGUUACGAGGUUGCGCACGAACCGUGCGAAAUAUGACAAGCCAAUGUUUCAAAAUCGUGAACGUGAUGCCAAUGUUGGUUCCAUUGCUAAAGCGUUUGUCCCCACUGGCAUGCUCAACUUAGACAGUGUUGACGUUGUUUUAUAUUCUCUGUGUCAGAAGUACCGAGACACUGACAAGUUGAUAGUUCCCAGAUGGCUUAUUUUCCCUACUUUUGAUCUGCCGUCAUUUGCAGCUGCCAUGAAACCUAGUGACGAAUCUGGGCAUUGGUGCUUGAUUGUUCUGAAUUUGAGGUUCCAUCGUUUUGAGUGUCUUGAAUCACUCCGUGAUGAAACCUGGAGUGAUGCAGUUAGAUUCUUAAGGACUAUGACAGAUAACAUAAAGAAGCUUCGGAGGGAGUCCAGCGUAGACAGGGCCAAACCGUUCUCGCCGCCGCAUAUUGACGGUUUCUCUUGCGAGUUUGUGCGGGUGCCGCAGUAG
rnacentral:rRNA from 1 species